CCUACGGGUGGCAGCAGUGGGGAAUAUUGCACAAUGGGGGAAACCCUGAUGCAGCGACGCCGCGUGAGCGAUGAAGUAUUUCGGUAUGUAAAGCUCUAUCAGCCGGGAAGAAAAUGACGGUACCUGACUAAGAAGCCCCGGCUAACUACGUGCCAGCAGCCGCGGUACUACUGAGGGGGCAAGCGUUAUCGGGAUUUACUGGGUGUAACGGGAGCGUAGACGGCGGUGCAAGCCAGAUGUGAAAGCCCGGGGCUCAAGCCCGGGACUGCAUUUGGUACUGUGCUGCUAGAGUGUCGGAGAGGCAGGCGGAAUGCCUAGUGUAGCGGUGAAAUGCGUAGAUAUUAGGAAGAACACCAGUGGCGAAGGCGGCCUGCUGGACGAUGACUGACGUUGAGGCUCGAAAGCGUGGGUAGCAAACAGGAUUAGAUACCCGAGUAGUC
rnacentral:rRNA from 1 species